rnacentral:rRNA from 1 species
UGCCCCACAGUUCCCCGUCCGGGAACAAGGAGCUGGUAUCAGGCACACCCCUAUGUGGCCCAUGACACCUUGCUUAGCCACACCCUCAAGGGAACUCAGCAGUGAUAGACAUUAAGCCAUAAGUGAAAACUUGACUUAAUUAAAGCUAAGAGGGCCGGUAAAACUCGUGCCAGCCACCGCGGUUAUACGAGAGGCCCAAGUUGACAAACACCGGCGUAAAGCGUGGUUAAGUUAAUUCUCAUACUAAAGCCAAACACCUUCAAAGCUGUUAUACGCAACCGAAGGCAGGAAGUUCAACCACGAAAGUGGCUUUAAUUUGAUCUGAACCCACGAAAGCUAAGGAACAAACUGGGAUUAGAUACCCCACUAUGCCUAGCCCUAAACAUUGAUAGUACUAUACACCCACUAUCCGCCCGGGAACUACGAGCAAUAGCUUAAAACCCAAAGGACUUGGCGGUGCUUUAGAUCCACCUAGAGGAGCCUGUUCUAGAACCGAUAACCCCCGUUCAACCUCACCCUUCCUUGUUUAACCCGCCUAUAUACCGCCGUCGUCAGCUUACCCUGUGAGGGUCUAAUAGUAAGCAAAAAUGGUACAACCCAAAACGUCAGGUCGAGGUGUAGCGUAUGGAGGGGGAAGAAAUGGGCUACAUUCGCUACCCCAGCGAACACGAAUGAUUUGCUGAAACGCACAUCUGAAGGAGGAUUUAGCAGUAAGCAG